AUUUUUUGCCAAAACCUUUUCUUUUUAUUUUCCUUUCCUUUUUGUUGCUAGUGUCCAAAGUAUCAUGAACACCUAUCUAUUUGUAAUUUUAUAAAUAUAUAUAUAUAUACUAUAUAUAUAUAUAUAAGUAGAUAACUUCAUCAAUGAACUGCUGGUUAACCAUGUUUUGUUGAUAUCCCCAAAAGGAUGUACACUGCAACAUCUUGAGAUCCGUUGAUUCUAUGGAAGUUUAAAAGGGAAGUGGAAAUUCUUGGUCCACAUAGUUGACUUGUGGAAAA